CAAAUGUUGACGUGAGAUCCUGCUAGUGCUCACUGCUUCCUUUUUCCUUUUGUGAUAUUUUUUCACUAAUCAGUAGCAGACAUUCACAGAAUGAGACAAAGUUAGUCAAAGAUCAAAUAUUCUGGAAUGGAAAGUAUAGAUCUCAAUCAAAAAGAAAAACAUAGGGUAGCAUAGGUGAUCAGAGAAAAAUAUAAGCGAGUAGCAAAUAAUUGGCUAAUGUCAAUAAAAUGAAAAGUGCCAUUUUAGUAAGGCAGAAAAAAUAGUAAUAUUUGAGUUACUUAAGGAUUAAAAAAAAACCCACUGACUUGUAUUUUUUUCAAAAGAAGUUGGUCUGAAUAUGAUUGUUCACAUUAAAAGUGUUUAUUCAUCUAUUCAGUUUGGGGAUUUUCCCCCUUGAUGUUUUGACAGACUGAUGUGGGCUUCAGUGAGCAAAAGGAUCAAAAUGCCAGGAGUGCUAAGCUGUGAUGAAGAUAAGUGUGGUAAGAGCAAGCAGUAAGCCAUAGUAGUUUUCCACAGACAAGACCCAUGUAAGGUCUCUGCAGGGGGUUCAAGUGAGCUACUGAUCUUUACUUCCAGAUCUGAAAGUAAAUUUUACCAUUCUUUUCUCAUUUUUUUUUACUUACUUGUUCAUCAUUACACCAGCAUCAUAACUGUAUUACUCUACUGUAGUCCCAGGUAAGUCAAGCCUCCAUGAUACCCAGAGAAAGAAUAAAAACAGAAAUUAGUGCUGGGCUUAAAUAUCUAUUUUUGUUUC
rnacentral:lncRNA from 1 species